UACAGAGGUCUCAAGCGUUGUUCGGAUUCAUUGGGCGUAAAGGGCGCGUAGGCGGCUUUGCAAGUGGCGGGUGAAAUCCCUCGGCUUAACCGAGGAACUGCCUGUCAAACUGCAUGGCUUGAGACCAGGAGAGGUGAGUGGAAUUCCCAGUGUAGCGGUGAAAUGCGUAGAUAUUGGGAGGAACACCAGUGGCGAAGGCGGCUCACUGGACUGGUACUGACGCUGAUGCGCGAAAGCGUGGGGAGCAAACAGG
rnacentral:rRNA from 1 species